rnacentral:lncRNA from 10 species
GGCAUAGCGAGAGAUAAAUAGGAUUCAGGCAGUGCUGUCCUUACAUCGCAAUCAUUCAGGCUCCUUGGAUUAGAGACCAUCCUGAGGACAUCCUUGGGAGCCAUGUGCUGAAGAUGGCCAAGCCACAGGAUGAAAGGAGCUGCAUCUUUGAGUCACCACUGGAGAAAGGUCUCUCUAAAUGGAUUUGCAGAGACGUCUUCUCGAAUACUCCCCUUCUAAGUUCCACUUGUAAUCCACUUCUUCUAUUCUCCCAGCAAUCAAUGUGGUUUGGGGAAAUUCCAGAAUCUCAUAAUACCUUGGUCAUGGGUAAAUAAGGAAAGGACCUUUACAUACAUGUGAUGCAAAGCAGAUCAAAACAAGCAGAGCAGCCUAAGAGCAGCAAGACCCCAAAGGAUAAGGGAAGUCCUGCAGAAGAGCAGAGCGGUGCUGCAAAGGCAGGCAGGUAAGGUAAGCAGACAGGGCCAUCAGGAUGGAUCCUUUGGGCAUGCCAGCAUCCACCAGGGACUGGUAGAGCUAUUUAGAGAAACUGAUAAAAAGCUCUGCCAACUACAGUCACAAAAGAUGGAGCUCAGAAUGAUGAGUAGAUGCCUAAAACAUCUCCAUUUUGUUGAUGAAGAAAGUAAAGUUUAUAGAGCUUAGAUUAUUUGCUUUUGUACCUAGCACAGUACUUAGUUUAUAGUAGAUGCACAAUAAGUAUUUGUUUAAUGAGUGAAUGAGUCACUAGCCUAAGACCUUUAAUAUAACAUGCUUAAACCUGCUACCAGGGAUUGGGAACUCACCUAUUUAGUAGUGAGUAGAGGGGUGUGGUACUGGUACUUAAGACAGAUGCAUUGUGGUUGGGUAUGGUGUGUUUUUGUUUUUGUUUUGAGACAGGUUCUCCCUCUGUUGCCCAGGCUGAGAUGCAGUGGCAUUAUCAUGGCUCACUGCAGCCUUAACCUCCCGGGGCUCAAGCGAUCCUCCCACCUCAGCCUCUGAGUAGCUGGGACCACAGGUACGCAUCACCGUGCCUGGCUAAUUUUGUUUUUUGUUUGUUUGUUUUGUAGGGACGGGAUUUUGCCAUGUUGCCCAGGUUGGUCUCGAACUCCUGGGCUCAAGCUACACCCGCCCGCCUCGGCCUCCCAAAGUUGUAGGAUUAAGGUGUGAGCCACUGUGUCCAGCAGAUAUAAUGUUUUUAAAAGUUUGAGAGUUAAUAUGCUCUCUGGUGUGCCCUAGGUCCCACUACUCCUAUUGCCUUAAAACUCACGCAGUACACAUUUGUCUUCCAUGGGCUUCAGUUGUAAGAGAACCCUUUCUACUCUUUGCUGUUCACAAGUCUCCUUUUAAACAGAGCUUGUUCCCAAUGCUGUUUUGUUUUGCCCUCUGCCAUGUUCUUCCGGCCAUCACCUCCUGUGGGGAAAAGAGAGAGAGAUCACAUUGUUACUGUGUCUGUGUAGAAAGAAGUAGACAUAGGAGACUCCAUUUUGUUCUGUACUAAGAAAAAUUCUUCUGCCUUGAGAUGCUGUUAAUCUAACCCUAGCCCCAACCCUGUGCUCCCUGAGACAUAUGCUGUGUCAACUCAGGGUUAAAUGGAUUAAGGGCUGUGCAAGAUGUGCUUUGUUAAAGAAAUGCUUGAAGGCAGCAUGCUCGUUAAGAGUCAUCUCCACUCCCUAAUCUCAAGUACUCAGGGACACAAAACACUGAGGAAGGCCACAGGGACCUCUGCCUAGGAAAGCCAGGUAUUGUCCAAGGUUUCUCCCCAUGUGAUAGUCUGAAAUGUGG